AGAAGGCACUCGAAGCCCAUAUCCACGCGGCCUUAUCCACACUGCCUGCAUCUGUGUGGCUGCCAUCGUUCUCCCGCAUCAGCUGCCGCACUGCAUCUCGCCGUCGACUCCGCCAACCCUAGCGCCAUCACCGACUCACCCCUCCGCCCCGCCCUGCCCCGCCUCGCCCAGCGCCACCGCCCCCAUCCCCUCCAUCACCUAUCCGGAAUCCUACAACCCCGGCCUCGACCCAUCACCGCCAACUGCCUCUGAAUCCCAUACUCACGCUGCCACCAAAUCCCCAUCGACAAUUCCCCACACCCGCAUCUCCGACGCACGCUGCCGUCCAUCCGCAUCCAUGUCGCACCCACAUCCAAGCCUAGAGCCACCACAGCAUCCGGUCCAAAUCGAGCAGCCGGUGGCCAUAUCCAGCAUGGUGCUUCCAGAUCCGUGGUGCCCAAGCAAUGGAGCUCAUCCACAAGAAGAACUCAGCGUACCCUUCAAGUUCGUCCAGAUCCACGGUGCCCAGAGGGACCUGACGAAGGAGGACUAGGAGAAGGACCACCGGGAGGUCUUCAUGGCUCAGCUCCUUGCCCACAAACGGCGCUUCUCCUACCCUAGUAUACGGGACAAGGAUGACCCCUAGAUCGACCCGACCUGUUCGCCAAGUUCAAGAGGAGAAGGAGCCUAGCCCACUUCAUGCUGCGCUUCAUCAACAUCACGACCAAGCCAGCCCUCAAGCAAACCAGACUGUAGAAAAGCUUGUCGAUAUCGUCAUUUUUCUGCAUAAACAAAUCCGGGAUGCAUUCGAUGAAGCUGGUA